GCCAUUUUGCCAGCCAGAAGCAUCACCCAGACAUAUUGCUAGCAUUUCCAGUGAGGUUUCAAAGAAUGACUUUAUAUUUCAAAUUUAGUUUGGGUUCAUGCAAGGCCGCUGAGGUGAAAUUUUCAGGUCUCUAAAGCCACUCACUUGGUCCUGCCUGAGAGGUAGAUAAUGGUCAGUGAGGGUCUACUUGGAAGGUGUGGGGGUUUUAAGUGCUUUUCAUGGUGACUUAAAUGAGCACUUGUCUUGCUUUCUUACUGUAAACUUUCCACCCCGAGUGCCAUUUAUGUACUACACAGAACAAAGAGCAAGCUUGCUGGAAAACUAAUUAAUUCAAUAAUUGGUGGCAAAGAAACUUGAAAGCUGGCCAGACCAGCAACCUGGUGUGAUUUGUAGCAACAGAAUAGAAAAAUACCUGAGGAAUGAGUUCCAUGUUUAUUUUUUGGGUACUAUAAUCAUUGACAAUAAGAGAAGGGGCCAUUGAGAACAAACAUUAUGAAUUCAAUUUUUCUCAUGUGUGGUGGGAGCUUUCUGUGUGGAGUGACCCCCGCAUAAGACAGAGCACUCGGAAGUGUGUUGCUAGUAGAGUAGGAAGUAAGCAGAGUGUUAUGGGAGAGAAAGACUGCAUCAAUCCGCAGAUAUUAGUGAAGAGGGUGUGAUUUCUUAAGCAAACGGUGCAGAGAGAGCGCAGAAACCAGAGUCUGCAGAUGGUGUGAUAGUUAAUUUUAUGGGUCAACUUUACUGGACCAUGGGGUGCCCUGAUAUUUGGUCAAACAUUAUUUCUGGGUGUAUCUGUUGGGGUGCUUUGGAUGAGAUCCACAUUUGAAUCCAUAGAUUGAGCAAAGCAGAUUUUCCUCCCUUAUAUGGGUGGGCCUCAUCCAAUCACAUGAAGGCCCGAAUAGAACAAAAAGGCUAAACCUCCCUUGAGUAAGGGGGGAUGCCUCCCACCUCACUGCCUGAGCUGGAACAUUGGUCUUUUCCCGCCUUCAGACUCAAACAUUGGUUCUUCUUGGUUCUUCAGCUUGCAAGCUUUCUGACUGGAACUUAUGCCAUUGGCUACCCUGGUUCUCUAGUUUGCUGAUUGCCAACUGCAAAUCUUGGGGCAUUUUAGCCUCUAUAAUCAUAUAAGUCAAUUCGUUUUAAAUCUCUCUCUCUCUUUUUCUAUAUGUAUACACAUAUAUAUUCUAUUUUAUACACACAUACAUAUGCAUAUAUAUAGUCUAUUGGUUCUGUUUCUCUGGAGAACUCUCAUUAAUACAGUUGAAAAUGGGGUUUUAGGACACAUCCAAGAUUUUGAAGGAUAAGAUUUUACCUGUGGGUGGUGGUUGUCAGUGGCAGGAAAAGAGGGCAAUGAAAAUCCAGUAUUAGGUGAGAGAGACAUACCAGGAAGAUGGGAAAAUGUAGACUUGUGGGCAGUGAAAGAUUCCAGCUGUGUGCUCCAUUCCACAGUCUGUAAGUGUAGAGAUUAUCACUACUGCAUUUUGCCAAUGGGAAAGGGAACUAAUUAAUUAGAGGAAAGGAGGAUCUUACAGUAUUGGGAAAUUUUAAAUUUCAAUGGAGAAGUUGUCAGAAUGUUUCAGAAUGAGUCAGAAGGAGCUAAAUAUUUAGGGGUGCAUGGUUUGUGAGCAUAUGAUUCAUAGGGGGAAUUUUACGUGCUAAAAAUAUCAUUGAUACCUAUUAGCUAAUAUCUCAAUUUUACAUUCUUUACAUGUUUUAACUCAUUUAAUUAUCACAAUCGUACAUGACCUCUGUCUUUUCAAUCAAGAUAUGAUAAACAACAAACAUUUUGGGCCCCCAAAUUAAAAAAAUAGUUCUCUUUAGGAGAUUUUUCAUAAUCUAUUAGGCUUGAACUCUCUUAAGAGUCUGCUUUUGGCCUCAGCCACUGCUUUGUAUACACACAACAUAUCAAUAAAUAAUAACCAUUAUGGUUGAACAUUAAAUUUGACAGUGUAGUAAGUUAUGAACAAAUCUCCUCAUUAGCAGCACUAUUAUUUUGGUGUUUGCAGCAAUCUAGUAUUCACAGCUAAGUUGAGACAAGAGCCAUUAUGUAUAUAAGACAUUUUUAGCUCAUUUACUCUGAACCUGCUUUGCAUACAAGAGCAGUGGGCCCUCAUGACAUGGUAUAAUGUCAGAAUAGGAUGCAAACUGAAGUGAAGAGGAAUAGGACCUCUUUGACAUGGGAGCGUAUUAGUAUGUACUUGGAUGCUCAUAACUUUAGAACCGAGUUAACAAUUGUUUCGGACUAGAUUCAGAUUUUAAUUUCCAUCUGAGUGACCCACAUAUUUUUUUGUUGUUGAAAUGGAAGGGCUACUGUUCUAAUACAUUUAUGUAUGUAUUCUUGCCUUUGCCAAUUAGUCAAGAGUUGGAUUUGUGGCACUGUAUUACUGUGCUUAAUUCCUUUAAAAAAUUCUUAUCAAUAUUUUACAAGCUCAGGUUGGGAAGUUAAUUCAUUUGAGAAGUGGUUUGUGCAUUUUAUUUAUUUAUUUAUUUAUUUAGCUUGUGUAGCAUCCAUUUCCCUUUUUGUUCUGGUAAUGACACCUUGAUUUUACUUUUGGGAACCGGCCCUCAGUAAAUGAGGUUUAGACGAGCCUUGCAUGCAGCACCUCCCUCCAACCCUGAUUCUGCUAUAUUAUAUUCCCUUGGCAUAUGGUUGGUUCAGGGAUGGGCAUAUAACCUAGUCUAAGACAAUGGUGCUCAAUUCUUGCACAUUUAUCAGAAUUAUGGGCAAGAGACUAUCCCUUUCUGCAGUAAUUGCUAGCUCUGGGUUGAGUUAAGCAUGAGCUAUAAGGUCACCAUAAAGAUGGGGUACAUCUGGGAAUGAAGUCAACCUAGAAAUUUGCAGAGCCAAGAGGUGGAGAGAAACCGAGUCCAGAUGGUACCAUUUGAACCCCUGGUUCAGGUUUCUCUGAACUUUUUAUUCUGUGAGCCAAUCAUUUUUCUCCCUCUCCUUAUUAUUAACUCCAUCCAUGUUGAAUUGAACAUUUUUUACUUGCAUCCAGAUGAUACCUUAAGUUUUAAAUUGCUUUGAUUUUUCUAUUGUAUUACUAUUUGUAUGAUAUUUUCAAGGGCUUGUUUCACUGAAGGACUCAAAGUUAUUUUUAAG
rnacentral:lncRNA from 1 species